UUUUCAGAUUCCAAAUCAGUAGACAAUUCGGCUCCACACAUAUCGAGUGAACAAAAUUACCAGAAACAAAACAAAAUAAAAAAACAAAAUUUUUUUUUUAAAGUUCGAAAUUUUCUGUUAACUGAAAACAAAGUAUUUAGAAAUAUGGCAACAAAGACUUUAAAGUUGGGAUUCUUUUCCCAGAUUCAGCGAUUUUUUGGAUCGAAGCGUAUUCGAAGAAUCCACAAAUUGGCCCUAAGUCCCGACCAUCAGAACCUUGAGCCAUACAAUCACGAUGGUCCCUUGCAACGCGUUCUCAAGCAGAUCCAACAAAGUCCAAGACCGUUAUAUCUGGGCUUUCACGAAGGACAGUGCAAGAGCGAAGCGAGGCCGAGGGCACCUGCAAAACGCCGAGCAGCGUCUUCCACAACGCUGUGUGCGGCACCACGGAAAAGUGCUUCGUCCACAACGCUCUGUGCGUCGAAGGUUCAAGGAACAGAGAGGUCAAGCAAUCAGCGCAAGUUGCGACGCUCUAAGAGCUCUUCAAGCACAGUGGGUGCGGCUCUUAAGGAUACCGACUCCUCGGUUGCGCUCCGUGCGUGCUCCUCUACGAUGCGGACAGUUGUGACUUCGCUGAAUGCUGGCAACAUGCAGGCCACACGCGACCAACUCAUGAAGAAGCUGCGCCGCAAGGAGCAGCGCCAGUGCGUUCCCCUGGAAAACGCGGUGAGUUCCAUUCGCCUAAACAUCGGGGAAAAUGCCGGCAGAAGAUCCUGCCGUCGCAUUCGAGUCGAGUCGUCCAAGUCCCAAAUGGACGUGGCUCGCCGUCAGAGCAACACGAAACUCUUUUCCGCGAAUAGUCAGCUGUCGGUCAAGGCGUCUCAAUCGAGGAUGUACUCGGCUAAGCCAGCGCCAGCGAAUCACUGCGAAAAGGACCUUGGGGGCCAACCAGGCGUGGAUGUGAAGUUGGCAGUCAGUUGGUUCGGAAGGAUGGCCAACAAAGAUAUAAAUCUGGACAACUGCCGACCGCAGCAAACUGCCAGAGCGCCAUCCCCCAACAGGAGUGCAUCAGGCAGCCAAUACCCUUUGAAGAAGGUACCAUCCUCCGAAAAACGGGCCCAAAACGUAACCAAUCGGCCGCCCAAGCAUUCCCGAUCUUUAUCGAUCUACAGUGGAAAACUGAUGCCCAUGGAAGUGCCAAUUAAGAAACCCAUCAGGGAUCUCCAACAAACCUCCGGAAUGUCCUCCAAGCCAAACGAGAGUCCUGAUCUACUCCAUCCAUGGCAGAAUGGGGAGAUAGAUAGCGUGGAUUCGGGCAAACCGAUUCGGAUGGAAUUGUCUUCUAGCAGUUAUCCCUCCGAAAUGCAAGAAUUCCAGUCACAAGCUCCAGUUUUUUUGCAAAAUGAAGGGAAAUUGGAUUUGAAGAAGCCCAUCAAGAUGGAAUCCUCGCUUCAAAUACUCAAUCAGCCUCCUAAGAUCCACAGAAAACCAUCAUCUAGCAGUGGUCCUUCCAUAAGGAAAGAAUGCCAGCCUGCAACGUUAGAAGAAGUUUCGUUGCUGAGCAAGAGGAAAGUGAAUUUCGGUACCCCUAUGCGGAUGGAAUCCCCAGUCCGGUUCGAAAAACCUUCGCGGAUGGAAGGCAAAACCAAAGAUGAUGAGAAGAAAACGCUCACCAUGAAGUUACAGCCAUGGAAUAAGCCUGCAACCGUGCUACACGAGAUACUAUCUAGUACGGCUGCCAAGCCUAAGCUGCUCCGCAAAGAUCCUUGGCCAGAGGCAAAGAAAAGUCAACAAAAUGUGAGGGAACCUCUCGCAAGGGAGCCGCCCUGCAUAGAUAUUUGCAAAACGGAAAGGAAAAGUCAACGGAAUGUCAUACAACUUUUCAGAGAGAUCCCCAAUCGAACCCGAAUUUCGGAUGAAGACAGGCGUCUAAAACACAUCCGUGAGAGUGUUUUGAUCAAGAACCUUAUAGCCCGCAUCGAUAAGAUCCUCGCGUGCCCCGCCAGAAGUCAAAGAACUGCUGCCACCAAAAAUCCCAUCGCAUCAGACGAACUUCCUGCAAAAGCAAACGAGAAGCAAAACACCAAGUCCGCUUAUCUGAUGACAAUCAGAACAUUUGUCAAUCACUCUUACCUAGCACGCAAAAGUCUGUCAAAGCUACUCUGCGCGAGUGUCUCACGUAGGCCUGAUUUAAGUUUGGCCUUGAGCCCGUUCACUGAGAAAGAUUGUACCAAUUCAGAUAAUGGGGCUGCUGAGAAGCUGAGAAACAUGGCAAUUUGUGAGCUGAUGAAGCCUUUCCAAAUAUUAGAAUCCAUGCACGAGACUAAUACAAUGCUCCAGCAUGUUUCUCGGCAGAGUGAACGGAAAGUGGAUUUGGGGACACCGUUAUGGAGGGACUAUUCAAUAUUCGAGAAACCCAUUCAGUUGCAGUCGCCUCUUGAGCUUUUAUUAGAGGAAUCGGCCAGGAAGGAAGAAGGUGCAUUCGAUUUGGCAGAAUUUCUUAAAAUCGAAUCGCAACUGAAGGCACUACUGUCAGAAUUCACCAAAGACGACAAUGAUAUUGAUUUUGCAGAAUCUUUUGAAAUCGAGUCCGUAUUCCCUCCUCGCACAUUCGAGUAUGAUUUUUUGCGGAGCCCAUUUACAUGGGAUUCAGGGAUAUCAAUUCCGAUCAGUAGUCCUUUUGCAAUGGUAUUCAGGCCACACAUGACGUCUGAAGCGUUGGAGCAAAUUUUAUUGCAGGCCGAAGGAAAAGUGGUUUUGGGGAAAGCGAUCAAGAUGGCCAAUGAAAGUCCUGUUCCAUCGAUAGCAGAACUGCUCCUCACGAAUUCUUUUCAAAAUUACAUUAAAGGCGAGUUUGAUCUGGCUGAUGAUCUCGAAAUAGAAUCGAUAGAAUCGAAUAAGACCCCGCGGAUGCUUGAACAAAUUCCGAGUGGAACUUCUUUCGAGAGAGUGGUACCAAUCGAGAUGGUUCCAGCACCUCUGAUGAUAGCCAGUGAAGCUCCUGAAUCUGAUCUGGCAGAUGAAGAGAAAACUAAAAUGGAUCUAGCUGAACUUCUGGAAACUGAAUCCAAGGUUCAGGAGACGCUCGAUAAAUUUAUCAAAGACAACAAGAAAAUACAUCUGGAUGACUUACUGGAAAUGCAAUCCCAGAUUCUGAAGACGGCUGCAGCUGCAUUAAUGCAAGAACAUUCUAAUACUGAGGCAUCGGAUAAAGAAAUCCGAAUGGAAUCCAAAUCCCCGAUCAAGAUGACCAUUGAGACGCCUCAGACUGCCAGCGGGGAGUCCAAACCGCAGAAGACUCCUGUCAUAAACGAUGAAGUGCCUUUGAAAAUGAGUUCAAGCCAUCAGGAAGUCAAGCCAAAGACUGAUAAUAAUGAAAUCGCGACCACCUCGUUAUACAUAGCCUCCUUCCGCAAGGGAAAGCCAGAACAGUGUUGGAAACUCUUUGGUACCGAAGGAAAACAAAAGAGAAUCUGGACUAAAGCAGCUGAAGAUGAUAAGGAAGGCAAUAAUCCUUGCUAUUCCAUGACAGUCCGAUCCAACCCCGGAUUAAGCCCGGACAAUAAUGAUGAGAGCGAAUCUUAAUCUAGCUGGAAUCUUGUGGAAACCAACCAAAUUUUUAAGUGCUUCGCCAUGCUUCAAAACUGUUCCAAUUUGCUUCUGAUGAGACCACUCCUGUCAAUGCUGCUGCACAAUUUUGGGUACUCGUAUUUACUCGUCAAAAAGAAAACGGUGACCGAUUUGUCUGUGGAAUUGAACCGAAACUACAUUUUUAUUUAAACAAUAUAAAUGCUGAACAAAGAAAAAAGA